UUUGUUUGUAACGUGUUGCCGGCGUCGGAAGGCUGGAAUUGCUAGCGGUACAUCGGUCGUUGAGCGUGAAUCGCUUCAGACAAACUCUGGGUGGCAGCCAGUAGCGUUAGCAUUCAUCGCCAGCUGUGCAAGAGUAUGCCGAAAGCCUGUCCCCCCUCCUACCUCGGCUCACCUCUUGUGAUGACCGGUCAUUGACUUUUUAAGGCCUUCGAAUUGUGGGCAAGGGGUUCUGACCACUGUUUUCUCCGUGUUUUGUUUGAGUUCUAGUAUCGUAGCCAGUCAUGUUUUUCUUUUAGUUUGGGGUUGUUGAUAUCGUGUCUGUGUGUGGGUGUGUGCGCGUGCGUCUUCGUAC